GGAGGAAAAUAAACCAACAGGGAUUCCCUAAUUAGCGGCGAGCGAAACGGGACCUAGCCCAGCACCGAAUCCCUCGUCCUUGCCGGCGAUCGGAAAUGUGGUGUAUGGGAGGUAACGUUCCCGAGAGUUUUGCGGUGGUGCAAGUCCCCCUGACAGGGGCUUGACCCAGAGUGGGUGCCCAGGCCCGUCUCCGCCACUGCUCUCUCGGGAUGGAACCUACCCGUGAGUCGGGUUGCUUGAGAGUGCAGCCCUAAUUGGGUGGUAAACUCCAUCUAAGGCUAAAUACGUCCGAGAGACCGAUAGUUCACAAGUACCGUGAGGGAAAGUUGAAAGGAACUUUGAAGAGAGAGUUUCAAGAGUACGUGAAACCGCUUAGAGUAAAACGGGUGGGCCCUCGAAGCUCGAGGGCGGUGGGAUCAGUUUCGGCUGUGACGUGGAGCGGGUGUCAGCGGUCUGGGUUUACGGGCUCUCCUUGUGGGGGGGGGGCCCGUUCCGGCUGGCCCGCGCUGUGCCGCGCACGUCCGGAACGCAAUUUUCCACCGUCGGUAGGACGCCGCGACGGGCACGGGUAACCCUUUCAAGAACGACUUUGAGUCCGGCGCCGCUGGAGGUGACCGGCGACGGCCCUUGUUUGGCUGUCGUGGGAUUAUGCCUGGCCGGUAAUCGAGUACGUCACCCUGCCCAGGCCUCAUGGGCUACUCCAUUCGGGGAGGCCCGAAACGAUGCCCUCCGGAAUGCGGAGCCGGGAAACCCGGCUGGGUCAACGGGUCCGCCUGCCUUACGCCAGGUAUUCGCCUGACGUUCGGUGUUUGGGGCUCGGAACCGGCGAGGCGGGUUCUUUCCGCGGAGGGUCGUCAUGGUUGGCGGCGAGUAGGUCGGUAACCCACCCGACCCGUCUUGAAACACGGACGAAGGAGUCUAACAUGUGCGCGAGUCCAUGGGUCCCUCAAAACCCCAGAGCGCUGCAAUGAGAAACGUGAAGGCGCGGCCUCGUGACCGUGCCGAUUUGCGAUUACCGGGCCGCCCAGGGUCCUAUGCAGGGAGCAGCAACGGCCCGCCCCACACGCUCACGUCGUGGGGGCCGGCGCUAGAGCGCACACGUUGGCACCCGAAAGAUGGUGAACUAUGCCGGGCAGGACGAGGCCAGAGGAAACUCUGGUGGAGGUCCGAAGCGCUUCUGACGUGCAAAUCGAUCGUCCGACCCAGGUAUAGGGGCGAAGACUAAUCGAACCAUCUAGUAGCUGGUUCCCUCCGAAGUUUCCCUCAGGAUAGCUGGCGCUUGUUGCCGAGACCAGUCACACCUGGUAAAGCGAAUGAUUAGAGGCAUUGGGUCGAAACGACCUCAACCUAUUCUCAAACUUUCAAUGGGUGGUGUCGGAGGCCUUCUGGUCUGAGGCCUCCGGAAGCGAUGAGAGUGCCAAGUGGGCCACUUUUGGUAAGCAGAACUGGCGCUGGUGGGAUGAACCAAACGCCGGGGUAAGGCGCCCGAUGCCGGACGCUCAUGAGAUCCCAUGAAGGGUGUUGGUUGCUUAAGACAGCAGGACGGUGGCCAUGGAAGUCGGAACCCGCUAAGGAGUGUGUAACAACUCACCUGCCGAAGCAACUAGCCCCGAAAAUGGAUGGCGCUCUAGUGUCGAGCCUAUCCCCGGCCGCUGCCGGCAGAUGCACGCAAACAAGGGGGUGCUAAGCUGCAGCGAGUAGGAGGGCCGCUGCGGUGAGCGUUGAAGGUGUCGGGCGUAAGCCCGCCUGGAGCCGCCGCUGGUGCAGAUCUGGUGGUGGUAGUAGCAAAUACUCAAGUGAGAACCUUGAGGACUGAAGUGGAGAAGGGUUCCAUGUGAACAGCAGUUGAACAUGGGUCAGUCGGUCCUAAGGGAAAGGAGAAGUUCUUUCCGAAGCGGGAGCACUUUUUUGCAGUGGAGAGAGCCCCGCAGUGACCGAAAGGGAAUCGGGUUAAUAAUCCCGAACCCGGACACGGAGAUUGGUCCUUCGGGGCCCAGUGCGGUAACGCAAACCAGCUCGGAGACGCCGAUGCGAGCCCCGGGAAGAGUUUUCUUUUCUCUGUAAGGAGAUCGAGUCCCUGGAAUGGGUUCGCCCCGAGAUAGGGAUGGUGGCUCCGUAGAGCAGUGCGGUUCUUGCGCUGUCCGGUGCGCUCGCGUCGGCCCUUGAAAAUCUGAGUGAGGGAGUGUGAUUUUCGUGCCGGACCGUACCCACAUCCGCAGCAGGUCUCCAAGGUGAACAGCCUCUAGUCGAUGGACCAAUGUAGGUAAGGGAAGUCGGCAAAACGGAUCCGUAACCUUGGGAUAAGGAUUGGCUCUGAGGACUGAGCCGGUCGGGCUGGGACCUGAAGCAGGAACGGCACUGCACCGGGACUGGGGGGGGCUCGCCGUUGACGCGGCGCGGCCAAGCCCGGACCAGCGUUGGGACCUUCCUGUGGAAAGCCUCAGCUGCGCGGCGGCCGAGGGCUUCGUGCCCAAAGUGCUAUGCUUCGGCCGGCAAAAAAACUGUCAACUCAGAACUGGCACGGACCGGGGGAAUCCGACUGUCUAAUUAAAACAAAGCAUUGCGAUGGCCGCUGGUCGGUGUUGACGCAAGUGGAUUUCUGCCCAGUGCUCUGAAUGUCAACGUGAAGAGAUUCAUCAAAGCGCGGGUAAACGGCGGGAGUAACUAUGACUCUCUUGUAUUAGCCAAAUGCCUCGUCAUCUAAUUAGUGACGCGCAUGAACGACGACGAAAAGCUACUAGUUCUCCCUGGGUGAGCGGUAUCGUUCUCGAUCUUUUUUUUUUCCUAUAUAACUACCUGAAGAGUGAAGAAAAGUUAGCGAUAAGAUAGCCAAAUUCGCCGCGAUCAUUU
rnacentral:rRNA from 1 species